AAUGAACGUUGGCGGCGUGGAUUAGGCAUGCAAGUCGAGCGAGAACCCGCAAGGGGGACAGCGGCAAACGGGGUAGUAAUGUGUCGGAACGUGCCCUCUGGACGGGGAUAGCGGCGGGAAACUGCCGGUAAUACCCGAUGAACUCGAGAGAGCAAAGGUGUGAUUCCGCCGGAGGAGCGGCCGACAUGGUAUUAGCUAGUUGGCGGGGUAACGGCCCACCAAGGCUGUGAUGCCUAGGGGAUGUGAGAGCAUGAUCCCCACCAUUGGGACUGAGACACUGCCCAGACACCUACGGGUGGCUGCAGUCGAGAAUCUUCGUCAAUGGGCGAAAGCCUGAACGAGCGACGCCGCGUGCGGGAUGAAGGCCCUUGGGUUGUAAACCGCUGUCGAGGGGGAUGAAGGCCUUCCGGUACUCCGGAAGGUUUGACAGAGCCCUGGAGGAAGCACGGGCUAAGUUCGUGCCAGCCGCCGCCGUAA
rnacentral:rRNA from 1 species